rnacentral:tRNA from 1 species
GGCCUGCUAGCUUAACUGAAUAGAGCACCUGACUACGGAUCAGGAGGUUAUAGGUUUGAAUCCUAUGCAGGUCA